GUCAACACUCACAUUUAUUUUAACUGAUAAUCCAUCUAUUUAUGGACUUUUUAAAUAUAGGUUGCUAUUUGAAAAUCAAAAGUAGGUAGUUGUUUUACCCCCAAAAUUAAGGGUGACAAACAAUAAUAUAAAUAUAAAAUUGUAGAGCAGCUUUUUUCUUAAAUAUCCUAAAAAAUAAAUUCUGGAAAAAGUUAAUAUUUUCUGAGAUAAUGAGUGUAUUGUACCUAUUGAAAUGGAUUACCCGGUAUGUAUCCUACCUCCCCAACUUCCCACUUACAACAUUGGCUGCCCCCAUCCUCAGCACUUUUAGUUUCUGAGCAGAGUGAGGAAAUUUAUUGGUUUUACAAUGAUGUUGGUUUUUUUAUUUUUAUCUGAACAACUCUUCUACCUGCAAUUUUGCUUAGAUUUACAAUGAUAAUACUUUUGCUCAUAGGAAAUCUGACUUGUAAGGCACUUGAGGGAGCUUAUUUUUUGAUUUCCCAAAAAAUGGGGAAACCCGAGAAAAAAACGUGGGGAAAACGAUAAAAUAGGUAUAAUAUUAAAUAAAUAUUAUUAAAGAAAAUGUUUAAUGCAUAUGUUAUUAUUUUACCAUAAUAUGACAUAUUGUUGAUGGAACAAUACUAUCAACCUAACUCCGUUCAGAAUAGUAUUUUUUCGUUAGCAAUUGGUUCGUACAGAUAAAUAUUAAAUUCCCGUCUAUAUCCUAUACCUUUCAAAUUUCUCACCUGUUAUAGUGGCUGCACCCGUCUUUACUAUCGUGGGACAUUUUUUUUCUUUAUUUUACUCGCAGGGAUAAGAACUACAAAUAUUAGUUUGUAUAUUAAUUUUGUAUGUGUUAGUGAAACAUUUUAAAAAAAAACUUUUUAUUUUAUUAUUUUCAAAAAAAUUGAAGAUAG